rnacentral:sRNA from 1 species
GCCGGGCACGGUGGUGCGUGCCUGUAGUCCCAGCUACUGGGGAGGCUGAGGCUGGAGGAUCGCUUGAGUCCAGGAGUUCUGGGCUACUGUGCGCUAUGCCGAUCGGGUGUCCGCACUAAGUUCGGCAUCAAUAUGGUGACCUCCCGGGAGCGGGGGACCACCAGGUUGCCUAAGGAGGGGUGAACCGGCCCAGGUCAAGAAUCCAUCUCUAUAAAAAAGAAAAUUAGCUGGCUGUGAUGGUGGCACACUUGUAGUCCCAGCUACUCAGGAGGCUAAGGUGACAGGAUUGUUUUA